rnacentral:rRNA from 11 species
GCAUUUGGCGUUACAAAAUACCUUAAAGGCACCAGAUUUGGUCUGAUCUAGGAAGCUAAGCAGGGCUUGCCCUGGUUAGCAUUUGGAUGGGAGACCGCCAAACCAUCCCAGGCGCCUUAGACU